CUACGGGACGCUCCAGGCGCGAAACCUUUACAAUGCACGAAAGUGUGAUAAGGGAACCCAAAGUGCUUUACUUAGUAAAGCUUUUACCAAGAGUAAAUAUCUUGGAGAAUAAGUGGUGGGUAAGACUGGUGCCAGCCGCCGCGGUAAUACCAGCGCCACGAGUGGGAACUGCAAUUAUUGGGCCUAAAGCGUCCGUAGCCGGUUUAAUAAAUUUUUUGUGAAAUUGUUAAGCUUAACUUAACAAAGUGCAGAAAAGACUGUUAAACUUGGGACUGGGAGGGGUUAGAAGUAUCUUUAGGGUAGCGGUAAAAUGUUAUAAUCCUAAAGAGACUACCUGUGGUGAAAACGUCUAACCAGAACAGGUCCGACGGUGAGGGUCGAAAGCUAGGGGAGCAAAUCGGAUUAGAUACCCUUGUAGUC
rnacentral:rRNA from 1 species